CCGGACACACUAGCAUGUUAUUGUACUGAAUACUGAAGGAAACUGCAACACAAUGGUCUUCAGAAUACCAGUUAUGCUGGGAAGCACAGCAGACUGUUCUCAUCAAAGAAGAACUUAUCAUAAAUUAUUUUACCGGUAGCUGAAAAGCAAGCCGAGGGAGACUCUGAGAGCUGUAGCAGCAUGCUAGAUGAUGGAAUAGCAGUGCCCUGGGCAGCAGAAGAAAGUCCUGAGACAGAACACCCAGGACAGCAUACUUACCAUGGCUUCCCUGUCUCACAAGAUUCAUCCACAUCGAACUGCCCAAGAACAAAUGUACCACGGGCUAAUCUGGAGGGCAACUCCUCCAUCUUUCAUGAAAAGAUCAAGAAACGGAGGCAAAGAGAGAUUAAAGAGCUUGCCCAAACUUCACUCUUCUGCCUUCCCAUGAUGAGGCAGAUGAUAGAUUAGAGGUUUUCAGCACACCUCAACCACCUAGCA
rnacentral:lncRNA from 1 species